ACGGNCUUGGUAGAAUCAGCGGGGAAAGAAGACCCUGUUGAGCUUGACUCUAGUCCGACUUUGUAAAGAAGCAUGAUGNGGUGUAGCAUAGGUGGGAGCGCAAGCGCAAUUGAAAUACCACUCCUUUUAUCGUUUCUUUACUUAUUCAGUGAAGCGGAGAGCGGGGCGCAAGCCCCUCGCUUCUGGAGUUAAGCGGCCCGGCGCUCGCCGCCGGCCGCGAUCCGCUCUGAAGACAGUGUCAGGCGGGGAGUUUGACUGGGGCGGUACAUCUGUCAAAAGGUAACGCAGGUGUCCCAAGGCGAGCUCAGCGAGGACGGAAACCUCGCGUAGAGCAAAAGGGCAAAAGCUCGCUUGAUUUUGAUUUUCAGUACGAAUACAGACCGUGAAAGCGUGGCCUAUCGAUCCUUUUGACUUUAAGAGUUUUAAGCAAGAGGUGUCAGAAAAGUUACCACAGGGAUA
rnacentral:rRNA from 1 species